rnacentral:rRNA from 1 species
UACGAAGGGUGCAAGCGUUACUCGGAAUUACUGGGCGUAAAGCGUGCGUAGGUGGUUUGUUAAGUCUGAUGUGAAAGCCCUGGGCUCAACCUGGGAACUGCAUUGGAAACUGGCUUACUAGAGUGCGGUAGAGGGGUGUGGAAUUCCCGGUGUAGCAGUGAAAUGCGUGAGAUAGUCGGGAGGAACAUCUGUGGCGAAGGCGACACCCUGGACCAGCACUGACACUGAGGCACGAAAGCGUGGGGAGCAAACAGG